AUUGAACGCUGGCGGCAGGCCUAACACAUGCAAGUCGAGCGAGUGGCGGACGGGUGAGUAAUGUCUGGGGAACUGCCCGAUAGAGGGGGAUAACUACUGGAAACGGUGGCUAAUACCGCAUACUAUCGGAUGAACCCAUAUGGGAUUAGCUAGUAGGUGGGGUAAAGGCUCACCUAGGCGACGAUCUCUAGCUGGUCUGAGAGGAUGACCAGCCACACUGGAACUGAGACACGGUCCAGACUCCUACGGGAGGCAGCAGUGGGGAAUAGUGCACAAGGGGCGCAAGCCUGAUGAAGCCAUGCCGCGUGUAUGAAGAAGGCAUUAGGGUUGUAAAGUACUUUCAGCGGGGAGGCGUUACCCGCAGAAGAAGCACCGGCUAAAUCCGUGCCAGCAGCCGCGGUAAUUC
rnacentral:rRNA from 1 species